ACAUUGAAACACCAGUUCUUGUAUGAUCACCAAAGUUAAGCAAUGUCAAGCCCAGUCAGUACCUAGAUGGAUGACUUCUUGAGAAUGUCAGGUGUUGUAAG